CCCGGCAGCGGCCGGUCCGGGCAGGACGGGAAGGGAACGGGGAAAGCCUGUGGAAGUACAGGCACUCCUGACGCAUUUCGCAGCCAGGGCCAUCGGGAACUCCGCGGCUGUCGCCAAGAGCUCGCUCCCAUUAAACCGGUGACCGUGAGCAGCUUAGGAGCCACAGAAGAGAGAAGCCAUGACUGAGCAUAUCUCCCAGGGGACCUUGGACUAAAUGAUAUUUAAAGGUCCCUUCCAACCCACGCUGUUCUACGACUCUGUGAUGAUGAUGUGCAGUUGUAAAAUGUUGAUGGGAAUAAAGAUGAUCAAGCAAAGGUUGGAUGACCUUUACUGCUGCCUCAGCCGAGUGGAGGAGGAAGCAAUACUGAAGUAUCAUGCUUCUGUUCUGCCUUUGAUUCAACCAUUAAUCCUAACUCAGCCUGACCAAAGGAAGCAGCAGGCCAGGAAGCUUAUCAUCUGGGCACAAAUGUCACAGCUACGGAGCUAAAACAGCAGCAGCAAUGUGAGCACUGACAGCCAUUUACCAAACAGAUGACUAACCAUGGGGAAAUGCAAUCUCAUCAGCCAUUGCUACACAGUAAGAAAACACUUCCCCAAAUUUGCUGUGCAGCCUUGAGUGGCUUGUUACACUGGAUGCCAAAUGUUUAGGACACUUUUGUUUGCAAUGAAACCUUUGUCUUUUCAGACCGAUCCUUUAUGAUAAACAAAGCAAUCAGUAAACAAUUGAACAUGCUUACAAAGACUAGUAAUAAAGAUAAGUGAAUUAGAAAGCCUCAGGUAGGCUGGUGAGAGCUGGCUGAUCUGCUGGGUGCAGAGAUUCUGCAAGUCUUGAUUGUAUGCACAGCUCCUCUUGAAUUUGCCCUGCAGCAAAAUCAUGUGGUCUGUGACACAAUCACAACAGAAUCUACAGGAACUAAAAAUAAACUGCUUCUCUGCAAAUGUAUGGCUCAGUUUAGUCCAGCUUAUAAAUAACUGUCCAGCACUGGUCAGCAAACACAGUUCCUUAUGAUUAUCACAUUGUGCACGGCCUCAUUAAUUGUGAUUAGAGCCAGCUCUUUUACAACAUUCAAGCACUUGCAACACGUGGGUUCAGUCCCAGAUGAUUGUUUAGUAAGUUAUCAGUUCUCUGAGCAGCUUAUGUUACCCUCACUUGCAUAUCUGACCCAGCUGCUUUGCCCCUUCCUUGACAGCUUUCAGCAGUCCAGAGCUGCCUCACAAAUCUAUUGUGAGGAGCUGCCACCUCUGUGGCACUAAUUCUGUUACACCUGGGUGGUGGGAGGGCUUGGUACUGGGUCACCCUUCCGGCACCUCUGCAGGAGCAAUCCAAACAUCUGCCCUAAAGCCAGGAAUGGCUCUGACCACCUGUAGGGCAGACACAGCUACCAGCACAAUGAACCUUAAUGUUUAUUUAAUCAGAUGGGAGUGACAGUAGUGACAAUUUGUCCACUAAAUUUCAUUCAUUAAGUCAGAUUUGAAUUACAGACUUUUUUAUUUUAAACAAAAAAUUGAGUCCAAAUUAGAUUUUAAGUCAGAUCAACAGCUGAAGCUGUUUCUUAUUAGAACUGUACUUUCAGUGUAACAGCAAAAACAUCACCUUUGUAACAAUUUUUUAAAACUUUCACAUACUUCUUUUUGGAACUUUUACCAUAAAUUUUAGAAAAACAGGCAGUGGGCUGUCUCCAAAGGAUUUUACAAAAGGGAAAUAAUCUCAUUCAGCAAGCAUAAUAUUUUGACAAAUACUGGGGGGUUUAGAGCCUUCCCCAUAAAAUGAAUCCUUAUUGCAUUUGGAAAGGAUUUUUCACUCACUAAUUUUCUCCUUAUUGUUGGCAUGUAGCAAUUAUGCUGCUGUGACAGAUUUCUCAGAAGUACUUCUGACUGGUUCUCAGAUAAACAUUUUAGGUUAUUGAUUUUAACUUACUUAAAUAGAAAACUGCAGAGGAUUUUACAUUGGAUAGUUUUACAGCUGGUGACAACUGGAACAGAGGAAAUCAAGCAUCCUCAAAAGUAAGGGAUGCAAACUCAAGUAACUUCAAUUGAAAAAUAAGUCCCCAAGAAGAAAGAUUGUUUGCAUUGAGCUACAAAUAUCACAUAGUCUUUAAAUAUUUGUCUCAAGGAUUCAGACAGAGUGUGUCUUGUCCACAAGAUGGCAGGCACUGUAUCCAGGAGGUUCUGACACAGAAAGGUGCUUUGUAACAUCUGUGGAGCAAAAAACCUUCAUGGUAAUUAUCCUUUUUAAUUUCUUUAUCCUUCUAGGCAAGCACAGAAGAAAAUAUGUCUAUAAUUAUUUUCUUGGUUUGCUUAUAUAAUCCAAAAAUCUGCUUGCUUCAGAGAUAAGCAGAUUUCAGUUCAGAUGGAAAACAGAAAAUGCUUGUCAUCCAAGGGAACUAAUUUUUCUCUUUGAGAUUUCAGGUGGCUGGAGCCAAGUUAAGUCAUACACAAGAGGCAAAGGCAUUGCAGGGAGAAAUAUUACAACCUUACCAAACAUCUGGUUUUUACCAACCUACUGCCUAGGAGAAACAGGCAAGAGUGGAAGGGGCUGAGGGUUUAAAGGACUGACCAAACCUGAAAAACUCAGAGUGAAGGCAACAGUGCUUCAUAGGAAGAUAAAAUUAAUGACAGUCCAGAAGAAUUUAUCCUUACGUGCCUGAUAACUGAAAGGCAUCAAAUUCUCAGAGCCCUCACAGGUCUGUUCAGAUUAAAAAUAAAAUCUCUCAUUGUUCAUUUCCCCCCCUUCAGACUGACCUUGUCAUUGCCAACUGGAAUUAGCCUAAACCAAGACAACUGGGCAGGCUUUCCUACCCAUCUGCUUUCAAGCAGUGUGAAGGAAGCUGCCCCUUGGUGGCUUUUCAGAAAACUGAAAGGUGUUUGGUCUGUGUCCUAUAGGCAAACUUCCAAAGGAGUGAAAAAUUCCUGCUACUAUGGGCAUCUGUAUUAGAAGACUCAGAGGCCAACAAGGGGUUUGAGGUGUCACUCAGGAGAUAUUUUCAGCAGUGGGUACAUGAAGUGACUAAAAUCCAUUAUAUUAGAAGUGCAGCAAAUACAACAGGUACAAUAAGUACAACACUGCUCCCACAAAACAAGGUCCCUUUCUAAUGCUGUCAUCAUAUUUCUGUUUGCUCUUGAUCAUUCCACAGGAAAAAGCAGAGAAUCUCCUGUGUCCUGCAGGGCAAGGUUGUUCUGUGUCAGUGCUGCUUCCUCCACCUGCCACAGCUGAAGUUUUGAGCAGAAAUUCUCUGGGUGAUCAGGCUGUUGAGAGUGAAAGAAGAAGGUUUCAAGUCUCAGCUCAGCACAGAGACACUCAGAAGUUACAAGGGACCAGUGAACAGGCAAUGCUCUGAGCUGUGAACUGGCUAGUAGUGAGUGUGAGGUGGAAAUGACACUUAGAAGAAAUUUAUUUUAAGGUUAACAGCUCUACAGAACUUGUGAAAGUGCUCAGAAGCGCAGUAAGAGAAACAGAUAUGCACUAUAGUGAUUUUUUUUGUAAUAUUUAAACUGAAGAGACUGUGGAAACUUGGGGCUAAAUUUCAUUUCACACAAGGUAAAGCAGAGUGAAGACACACAAUUGCAUACAAUAACUCCUCCAACUCCUACUUUGCACUCCUGUGCUUUGUUCCAGCCAGGAAGUGCUCCUGAGCAUGCACCAGGUGUGCUUCAGGCCUGGGGAAAACACCUGAACCCCCUAAGCCCUCGAGAAUAAGAAAGCUGGUGAGGGGACAGCUGAUGGGUCAGACAUUGGUAGUCUGAGCACCCAAGUUUAGUUUCCUGUUUCCUUUACUGAAUUGCUCUGUAACAAAAUAAUUCCAAUUCCACUGCACAGAGCUGCCACUGACAAAAUGAAAUUAAUUGCUGCUACUCAGAGCCCACAAAGGGGACCUCCAGCAAACAACAUGGGAAAGCCACGUCCACAGCUGCAAGAUGAGGGGUAUCAAUAAGAACAGAACACAGAAUUUCUUCUGUUGCAGAUGAUUAUUAUGGGAUUGUGUUCUGAGCAAAUUUAAUGGGCAGUCCAUUAUUUAUUACUGUUUGAUGAUAAAACAGAGGGGAAAAACAAGUAAAUUUAAAGAUCACCCAGGUGCAGAGGUAGAAGUUACACAAAUUGUUCAUUAAAAAUAAUAAAACCCAAACAACUCACCCUGGCCCCAAUCCUCCCAAACACCUAUAUCACACACACACACAUUAAAAAUAUAAUCUGCAGUAAUUAUUCCAGCUCUAAAGUGGGAGCUACAUGUCUGUGUAAUGUCCCUUCUCCAUAUCACUCCCAGAGAGAUUUACACAGUGUGCAAUGGAAAUCCCCAUCAGAAAAAUCUUAUACUCAACACACAAUAUUCUCCAGGGUAUUCCAUCUUAUUUGAAGUUAUACUGCCCCAUGAAGUUACUGGAGACUGUUGGCAGUAGUAUCAGUGUGCUGCCUAUCCUGACAACUUGAAAAAUUAGAUUAAAAGUUAGUCUAGCAAACCAUGCAUUUUAUUUUAUCCUCCAUAAAUCAGUAGGUGUGGACCACUGACUGUAUAUGAUACUACUAGUACAUUUCCUAUUAAUUUAUUUCUGAGUUGGAAUAUGUAUAAUUUGUUCCAAAAUGCCCAAACCAUUCAAUGUUCAGUCAUUGCUGAUUAGUUCAGACACUGGGUUGGGAUACCCAGGGGAAAGACACAAAUGUCAGCUGCAAGAGCAGCCUAGAAGAGAAUGUUAAGUCGGUGUGAAAUCAACAUCUAAUUUCCCCAUGCAGAGGAAUGUGACAUACUUUUUAAUUAAAUGUCAGCCUGUCGAUAUUUUUCAGAUUAGUUAUGAAUGUGAAAUAUACCAAAUAAAAUGGAAUUAAAAUGGGCAAAUUGGUUUAACUUCUGCUGACACAUUUAAUUUUUAUUCUCAGUGCCCUACAAUGAGCAUUCUAAGAAAUUAAAGCAUAUCUUUUUAUUGUAGUAAUGAAUCAAUUUUCAGGUUCUGAAUGUAAGGCAGAGACCAAAAUAUUACAUUUAUUCCAGUUCAAACCCUAUGUAAAGGCUAGAAUUUGUUUAUUUGCAGCUAGGAUUCAACAUCAAACAUUUAAGCUGCAAUGUCACCCUCCUGGAAUUGAGGCUGUGUGUUCAACCAUUAUUAUUCUGGGGACCACUGACCUGAAAAAAAAAAAAACCAAAAACAAAACCUGCUUGUCCUUGCUUCAGUACAAGCACACUGGGUGCUUUUAGCUGUGGUUAUCUGAAGCACUUACAAAAUCUCAAUGAAACUCAAAAAACUCCAACUUUCUUCAGCAAGAGCUGCACUGAAUUCCCAAUUAUACAGGGAAAGCUGGAUGGGUGAUAACAACCCUGCCAGGAUUGUAACUGAGAAUGCUGCAGUUGCAAUUCUGCUCUUUCAGCAGCUGUGCAAAAGCAAACUGGAAAAUAGAAAUGCUUCCCUGGAAACUGCAGGAUAUACUAGUUAAAGCUGCCCUAUUUGAAUUUGCAAAUAGGCCUCCCAGCUAACAAUUAGAAAUCAUCAUACCAUCUUUUAUUGCUUGGAUUAGAUAAAAUUUGUAUCUGAGAAAUACAAUAGUGCAAAAAAAUAGAGCUACAGCUCCUUAUUAGGACAGUCUGUAUCAGAAUUCUACUAAAAGGUCUUGAGCAUCAUCUUUUAGGACUUUCACUCAUUUAUGUGCUACACAGCAUUGGAUGUCCUUUUAAGUGAAAGGGCAGAGUGCUGCUAGGGUCUAAACCCCCAGAACAUUACUAAAGCUCACAAGAGCAGUAUGAGAUCAGCACUAAGAGAAAGGGGGUGAAAGAUCCUGGACAAGGCUUGCUGCUAAAUGUGGGAAGUGCAUGAGGCUCCCAUGGCAGGUCCUACCUGGGACACCUCUGUGUAGCUUCAGACUUCACAAGGAUGUACCAGCACAGUCCAUGGCAGGAUCUUCCUGUGACUUCAGAAUGGUCCACAGGCAAUACCCACACAGUCAGAGAAGCAGACAGGAGCUACUCAAACCCCUGUGCUGGAGCAGCCUUUGCCAAGGCCUACAGAUGGUGAAGGUACACCCUUCACCUGUGCAAACACCCAGGUCAGGAAGGUAUCCAUGCUCUCUCUUCUCACAGUAUGUGUUUGCCUUCUACACAAGGCAAAUGGAGCAGCAGUAAGUCAUUUGCUUAUCCCAGGCAAAGAGAGGCUGUACAAAGGAUGUUAAGGUAUGUGUUAAGACAUUCUGGUUGAGGAUUAUAUUAAUUUAAAUAGCACCCUGCUCCUCUCCUGUCUCUCCAUAUUCCCUCUGAGUUUUCAUGAAACAGGAUUGCUUCUGUCUAAUAAGAAGAAACUCAGAAAUAGCUUUUGAGAUGUUUGCUGUCAUUCUGGUCGUUUCUUGUACACCCUUGUAUGGACUAUGCAUCAUUUGUUAUCUUCCUAGGCAUAUGUCAGAGUGCACUCCUGCUGUAAGAUACUGGUGCUGAAGGUUUAGUUACUGUGUGCCAGACCACGGGGUGAGGAACAGAAGGAGCCAUGUCUGUAAAAAAGCCAAGUGACCUCGUUGCUGCCAGAAAGAACAACAGCUGAAAAAAAAAAAGCUUCUGCUACUUAUUCCACAAUGAAAAGUGAGCUCUGCUCAGCUCCAGAGGCUGGAAUUCUGGCUCUCAUCCUCUCAUUAGACUGGAUCCUGUGUCCAGUUCACAAGCACACAGUGUCCCUGACAGGCAGCUCUACAGGAUCUGUGGAGUUUUGCUACUCUGGCUGCAAGGUCACACAGCCCAGAGCAGCCAGCCCAGUGUGUCCAGUCCUUGUGCAUGCACAGGAAAUACUGUCAACUCUCUGCAAGACUGCCAGCAGGACAGAUGCACCUGCAGCCUGGGUUGCAAAGCUAAGUGAGCAUUUUUAUACCUUCUUCCCCAAAAGAAAAAAACAAAAUCAAACCAAAAAACAACACCACCUUCAAGGAUAUCACAUUAGAUAUAUUUAUUAAGUAAUAUAUUGUAAACAGAUUGCUUGUCUGUGUUGAAGAGAAAUCACUGCUAAUGAUUAUGGACCAGCAGCACAUACGUGGCUGAGGAUUCUCUUAUUUUUUUCUCUGUGAAUUGCCAAACAAUGGCAGUGCUGCAUGCAGGGCACACAGCUCCUUGCCAUGUUUUAGUGUUUUAAAUACAGCUCCACUUUCUAGCAAAGAGUUUUCUUAGAACAUGUGCUUCUGCUUAUGUGGAAAAUGAGAUUCCUUUAUGCAAGAUCCAGGUUUUUCAGGCUCACCAAAAAAAAAAAAAAAAAAAAGCACCAGGAAAGGGAAAAGGCAAAAGUUUAUUUUAUAACAGCAACUUGCAGUUAUUUCUGCAUUUGAAAUGUAACUUCCAAAAGAAAGACAAACAAAAUACUACCUAUAGACAGCAAAGAUUUAUUAGGACAGACAGUGUUUCAUUGGAUUGCUGCAACUAUUUCUUUACUACACACAUUACUCUUAACAUCAAUUUCUCCGUCCUUCCAAGUUGAAUGGGUUCUAUGUUUUUCCACAGCAGCAAGAGCAAUUUACAGCUACUCACAUCAACUACCUUGCUGCAAAACAUUGUUCUCUUUCAUAUAAAAGAUUAAAAAGAAUCACGGAUUAAACUUUUACAAAUAGAUCAAUUCCAGAUGUUUCAAGCUCUUCCCUCUAUGUGAACUUGGUUAUGUUUUCCUUCUUUCUGUCUGCAUCAGGAUGGCAGAACUACCAUCACCCUUUUUCCCUUUAGCUCCUUUAUUAAUCAGACACAAGUGUAUAACAGCUAUUAAUAAUUAGAGUAUAGCAAGAAAAGUGAACCUAAUUCUACCUCAGUGCUUUCACUAUCCAUGAGAUAUUAUUCCUACUCCUGACAAGAUCUUUCAUCAACUCCAGCUUCUCCAGUCAUCCUUCUCUUCCACUUGUGCUUCCAUGCCAUCCCACCUCUGGAACCACAGCAGCUCUUCCCCUGGGCUGGGUCCCACAGGAGGAGCAGCCUCUGGCCCUGCAGCCUUGUUCUGCUUCAUCUCACAGCACCAGUCUUCUGUUCCCAUUACACAGGGCCUGCCUGGAGCUACACAAGGUACUGUUUUUCCUUCAAACCAUUAAAUGCGUGUUCUGAAGGGAAUUUAUGCUUUCAAGGAUCCCUGCUGUCAACAGGAUUUUCACAGGUUGCGAGUUAAGGAACCUAUUUGCAGAAAAUUACUGUGUGGCUCCUGCAGAGUAAUUACUCUGACAGCUCCCCAGUCUUCUCUCAAAGUGACACUAAAUACACCAAAGCUCAAGACCUGCACACAAAGGCAUUCAAGAUUACCAGUAAUACAAAAUGUUAUCCUCCAACGUGGUUGAGGCUUCUGAGUAAUUCAGAAUGCUGCUUGACCACAUCUAAACUCAGUGCUAAUUUAUAGCCUUGCUUUUCUCUUGAUUAACAUAUAACUGAACAUUAAUUCAGUGAUUAACCUCCAACAGAUAAAAAAUAGUUUGAAGGGGAAUGUAACAUAGUCACAAGUGGGUUGUAUUGCGCAGUUGUUUCCCAAGGGCAUUCAAUCUCAGUUUAUGAAUCUUUUAUUUAGAUUCUCCUGAAACCACACACCAAUAUCUUCCUCCUUCUUUCCCUUUAGAAAACUAAAGGGUAGUCUGGACACCACACCCACAGACACAGCAAUUUGGAGAAAUUUCAUUGUUAAAGACAUACUAAAAAUACACAUUUUCAUAAAUUAAACUUUUGUCCAAAAGGAAAAAAAAAAAAAAGCCAAUGUUUUGAACCUUAAAAUUAUUAUGGAAGUACCAUAUAACAGUAGUAGAAGAAAGAGAAACCACCAGUUAAAAUGAAGAUGAAAAAAAAUGUUCAUAAAAAAAAGCAAGUUUUACUCAAAGAGAUACAAGGAAGGGUUAAGAACAUAGGGGUGAAAAAUACUUAAGUUUUCUUCUGCAGAUUUUGCAAUUUAGGAAAGAAUUUGUGUAUCACACAGAGAUGGAUGUUUACCAAUACCAUGCCACAGUGAACAAAGUGGAUGAAGCCCAUGUAUCAAAAGUAAUGGAAGUAACAUUUCAUUACAGAUCUUAAUAUAAGCAAGCUUCACACUCCAGUGGUGAGUCCUCAAACAAAUGACUGCAGGAGAUGUAUUUUGAGUCACGAGAACACAGCAGUCUGUGGAGCUUUGCUUGUACUGCCACAAAGAAUGGCUGCAUAAAAACACCUUGAAUUCUUAAAGGCUGCACUAGAAAUGCUUUUCUUCAUAGCCACCUUGCCAGCAUCACUAUGAGCUCUGCUUCUCACCUGCAGCUGCAGUGUGAAUAUGCCUCUCCCCCAGCAGCCCAGGCUGUGGCCAGCCCUGGAGUCUGUCCAGCCAGCCCAGGACGAGCACCCCGAGCUCUCCCAGAGCCUGGGCAGCUCUUCAGAGGGGCUGACAUCAUGGCUUGCAGCUGAAAGGAUCCCUUUGAAACAAGCUGCUUUCUCAGAGCUUUGAACAGCCUAUUUACUCUGCUUCAGCUCAUCUGGAAGAGAUAAUACAAAUAAUCCCACUCUCCCAUGAACUGCUUGAGUUAUUGAAGUCCUGACGUGACCAAAAAAAAUGGACUGUGUAAUUUUAAGUGUUAGGAUUGUACAUAUUAAUAUAUGUGCUUUUUAAUCACAGAAAGAAGUAGGUAGAGAAUUUAGGAGUUGAAAGGAGAUAUCUUUAUUAAUUUUCUUUCUAGGGCAUGUAAUUCCCCAUCAAACAUGCCCAGAUAAUGCCUUGCAGCCAGCAGCACCUGAACACACUGAGCUUUGCUGAGCUUACAUGUAAGGGGAGAACUGGGUAGUUUGUAUCUAGGACAUAAUUGCUUAGCAAUGUUUUAAAUAACAUUUAAACCCUUCCAUGUGAAAACUAGGCUUAAUGUAUUAAAAGCCUCUUUAAACUUAAAAAUUCCAGAGAGACACAAUCUCUUUGAAAUUUAACAAAACAUUGACAAAUAUCUUUCCUCUGAAUACCUUAUAGUGGGUAUGUUAAAUUUCAGACCCUGCACUGCUUUCCUCCCACAGGAGAAAACAUUGGAUUGAAUGAGCUAUGCUAGUAAAUCCCAGGGCAGAAAUCUCCAGGAUCUCAAGGAGUGUGGAUUCAUCAACCCUGCAGCAGGUCUAUCAGAUCCUGUCCUUUGUCCCUGCCUCACUGAAAGCAACACACCAUGAGGAAUCUCUGCUGCCAUCAGUAGUGACAAAAAUGUAUACUGGAUAUGUGUUAGCCUAGAAAAGCAACAUCUGCUACUAGGUUUGCUUGGUAUUAGGAAGAC